UACGUAGGGGGCGAGCGUUGUCCGGAACCAUUGGGCGUAAAGCGCGUGUAGGCGGCCCGGUAAGUCCGCUGUGAAAGUCCAGGGCUCAACCCUGGGAUGCCGGUGGAUACUGUCGGGCUCGAGUCCGGAAGAGGCGAGUGGAAUUCCUGGUGUAGCGGUGAAAUGCGCAGAUAUCAGGAGGAACACCAAUGGCGAAGGCAGCUCGCUGGGACGUGACUGACGCUGAGACGCGAAAGCGUGGGGAGCAAACAGG
rnacentral:rRNA from 1 species